rnacentral:lncRNA from 1 species
AUUGGCCAGCAAAGUCGCGCUUUCCUAAACCCAUAGUUCAUACCGUGUCGUCUGGCGUGGACGUAGACCACUGUUGGGUGCUGUGUCGCGUACAACAAGAACGGUAGAAGAAUUUCUGAACCCUGUCCGCCCCGGCAUUGGGCCAUUGGCCAGGAAAGGCACACAGCGAUUGGACUGAGCAUAUCAAGUAGCCCCUCCUG